AAAGAGGAUAAAAAGGAAAAAAUCGUCUUCGCAAUACAUGCUGUGUUGAACUGGUUGCAAUGCAACAUCCAGACCAGAGCCACAGGUACCAACAUUGACCCACGGGGGAGACUCAGAGAGGGACACCUUCAACCUGAGAUUUGGAGUCCAAAUCCACUUCUGGCACCUAGCUGCACAAGAAGGGAAUGCUCGCAUACAUUGUAGAUUGUGAGAACUGCCUGAAGAAGGGAAUUGCAAUAUGUGCUAAAAAUACUGUUGAGCACAUGGAAAUACAGUGUUAGUUAUCGCAUAUGGAGGGGAAGAAGGAAUGUCAGACCCAUUAGAAGCAACUGUAGAAGAGGGACAGCUUAGCACUGAAUGUUCUGAGGUAAGACUUUUUAAGUUGCCAGCAAGAUAAGAUGGGACUUGGUUGCCAUUCUUUACCCCUCCCUCCCUUUUGUCCCUCACAGGAUGAGAAAAAAAUCUGUUUGGAAGCGAGUAAUAAGUAAAUAAAGCAUACAGGUAAGCAUGUGAACCAUAUUAAGUAUCAGUUUUCUGCUACAUGUUUUAUCUCUGUAACUCCUUGGGGAUGUUGUUUUGUCACAGGAAGAGUCAUUUAUUAUUUAGCUGUAUUUAAAGUCACUCAUCUGUGGAGAAACGUGGAAGGGGAUGCUGUUUGAUAUGGAAGGACUGCGGUGACACUUGCUCCCCUGCAGCCCGUCAUGUGCCCUGGCUCUGCUGUCCCAACUCUGGGUGGCACACAAUGACUGUGAUUUAAGAGAGCAGCAUAAGAGAAAGGUGCUUCUGACAAUCUUUUUAGAAAAAGUGCCCACGACCCUUUGCAAAAUUCAGAUUACAGAGAGCAGCAGCUGCUGAAUUAUUUACAUCUGUACAUUCAGGUACUACAAUUAUAUAAUCAGAAGAGAGAGUUACUUGUGAAGGACAAUAAAGUAAUAAACAAAAUGUUCUGAAUAAAUAACAAACUAACCAAUGUGAUGAGAUUUCAGCCUUAGAGAGCUAUCAAGCUAAUUCCUGCCCAUUUUACUCAUACGAGUAGUUUCAUUAAGAGCAAACUGCUUCUUAGUAAAUUGCCAGUUGUAAUAAAAACAAUUAAACUUGUUGUUUUAGUUCUUCUUGUUCUGCAUUUUUAUAAUUCUAGUCAUAACCAUUAAAACUUGUACUUUUAUACUCCCCUGUUGCAAAAUACUUUUCAUAUCACCAUUUAACCACUCAGUUUCCCUGCUCUGCAGGACUCUGAGUUUAGCACAUGCAAAAGAGUUAGAGCACAAGUAAAUACAUCCAGAACAGGUGCACGAGAGGGAUGAUGCAACUGUCUGUUCACUCUGCCUACAGGAGGACGACGGCGCUGCAGAUCUGUGAGGGCAGUGGAUCCAGAAAGCGGGACCUGGUGAAUUCCACACCAAAAUGUUGACAGCAUCUGAUGCACACAAGAGGUAUGCUGAGCACCCAGAACUGCCUGGACGCAAAGGACGUCCAGGACCUUUGCUGGUCGCAACACCACGCAAAGACAGUAAUUAUUUACUUGCCAUAAAAAAGAGAUGUGUCCUAUAAACGUACAUCUGAAAGUUACACCCCCAAAUCAACACAACAAUAAAUGUUUUGUAACUUUUCUAUUAAAGCUGCUCUCCCUUUUCUUAUCCCUUAAGUAGCAGUAUUAGUGUCAUAGUGACUUCUGUCAAGUUUUUCUAUUAACAUUACCUUUUUUUAAAAAAAUUUGUCAUAUGUUUAUAACAGUUCUCCGUGCUACAUAGAAAAAGAGGUGGCUAUGUAUGUAUUAGCCUUGAGCAGCAAGUUUCUUCUAGAAGAGUUGUUUGUUUCUUUUCUUUGUACUGUUCAAGAAGCACUUAGAGCCACUCAGGUGAAUAUCUUGCUAAAAAAUCAUGAUCUUUAAUAUGCAUGUGUACAAUACUUAUAAAAAUCUGAGAAAAUGAGUUAGCAGAAUUUUGUAUGAUGCUGUCGGUUACAUUGUCCCUGAACAACCGUACAUUCAGGAAGUGGCUGGAAGUUGUUUGUCCUGCCCAUGAGAGGUGACACUCCAGAAGACUCCUUUGUUCUUGUUCUUCUCAGUAGUAUUGCUGAGAGGGAGACUGGCUCCGCACGCAGUGUGACAGCAACGGAGGGAACAAUUUCCCUCUACUGCCAUUGUGCAUGAAAGAGGAAAAGGAAGAAACUCCCACUUAAGAAAGUGACACGGAAUUUGGAAACUCUGCCAUUUACCAGCUACAGUCUCAUUAGUUGAAAAAAAAAAAAAGAACAAAAAGAAAAAGAAAAGCAAGACUGCUAAAAUUUAAUCCUUAUCUUCUUCACACUUGAAGCCAAAGCCAUCUUCGAUUUCUAUACUAGAAAUUCCAAAGGCAGUAUGUAUAAAGUCAUGUUUAACCCUCCAGGUCAGUUUGAAACUGCAUGUAUUGCUUGAGAAAGACAGCACAGCCUGUUUAGACACCUGUAAGUGUGAAAGUAAGAAAUUCAGUUUCUUCUAGGCUUCACUACUCUUGUCUGAAUAAAAAAAAAAAAAUCAAGAAAACCCGCUAACUGUAAUAAUUUCACAAUCUGAUGAGCCCAGAGGUAAUAAAACAGACUUCUAACACAACACUUUUGCAGAGACUGUCAUUUGGUCAAAUUGAAAGCUGGGAAUCUUUUCCAUGGUUUCCAAGGUCAAGACAACCCCGUGUACAAUCAGAUCUUCAUAGCCUGGGUUGUCAGUGUUUCAGGUGUACUUUUGGAAGCUCUUGCCACAAUCCCUUAACAUGUUGUGCACAUUGAGGAUAACAUGUAAAGCAAAGCCUGUGCCCUUCAUCUCACCCUCUGUUGCUCUUUCUUCUUCAUCUAGUCACACUGAACAUUCAGCAGACCAUGAGCUGCAACUAGGAAAGAGUCCUCCUGUGUCCUGGCUUCUGCCUGACCCUCACAGGUUAGCUGAGCAUCCAGGUGGACCCUCACAUUUGGAACCUAAAUAACAAAAGCAGAUGGGAAUGUUCUACACUGUAGACUCUGCAGUAACACAGCACAGAGGCUCACAGAGGCAUUCUACCUGUCCCUUGCUGGUAUAACCCUCCAGGUGAGAGCAUUAAGUGCUUAAGGUUGCUCUGUGUUGCCAAAAUAGCAAAAAGUAAGCAGUAAACAGUACGAACAACAGUGGUAAUAACCUCUGCACUCAUGUCAUAAGCAGCCUGAAGCUGGAGAAACACCUCUAAGGAGAAAAAAGCAGGAAUUCCAUAUUUCCACUGUUUGUCCUCCAACCUCUGAGCUGAAUGCCCAAGAUUAAUUUUGUCUUUUUAAUAUAGCUGUUCACAGGAACCAGACUUCACUGCUUCAGAUAAUCCAGACAGCUCUUCCCUCAAUAGCCACACAUGGCCUUUACGCAACACCACUACAUUUUUCUGACUGAGAGCUGGAGAGCUUUGCUUGCUCUGAGCUUUACAUGCUCUUACUACUUCCCACAGCCAAUCUUCCAGGUGCCUGGCAUCUUUAUUCCCAGUAAUCAGGCAUACAAAACAAUUCAAGUUUUAUGAAGUGCGGCUUUCUAUAAGGAUGGAGUUAUCAUCACAAAACAAACUGCUGUUUAUUAUUAGACUCGACAGAUUUUGACAAGUUUAUUAGUUUUAGAUGUGGAACUUAACUAACUCCCAUUCCUUGACUAUGACAAAAGUGACUAUGGCCUCCUAAGCACUUAAUAAAAAUGAUGAAACAACAAACUAGCUGAAAUGAAAGGAAAUGCUGUAGGAUUAGCUCUGCAUUUAAAAUGAGCUUUUACUGGAUUAUUUAGCAAACACAAGGGUAAACGCUUGUCAGAUGGUUCUUUUGAAAGAGUAGAACAAGUAGGACAGUUUGGGGGGACAUAAUAUGAUUAGGAUUAAAUCUUUUAAAGGAAAGUUCCUUAUAACACUGUAGCUGAAAACAAACAAGGCAUACAAUUUUCCAUUUGUCCAUAAAGGAUAUUGCAACAAUUUCUGCAGCAAAACUGCAAACACUGAUUUGGAGCUCUUCAUGGUUCUAAGUGUGGAGUGCUCUGUUGUGCACAGAUGAUCUUCAAGUGCAAAAGACUGCUUCUUUAUUUUGCAUGAUGAAACAUUUCCAGUAGUUUUAUAGCAUUCAACAGCACUAUUUAUGGACAAAGGCCAGAUUGAAAUAUCUGUGUUCACAGCUACUUAGCUUUUAUCCUCAGCCCUUCUCAAUUUUUCUUCAGUUUUAUCCUACUUGUGACCAUAUAAACUACAUGAGCCAUUAUACUUCUGUCAGGCUGGUGACCCUGUUGGAACUACCAGAAUCAAACUGGGCUGAUAAAUCUCAGUUUAGUAGCUGCUGCCAGACAUAACAAGGACAUCCAAUGAUGUCAGUGAAGCUCUCUGUGAAGCGAGGUGCAUCUCAAGGGGAGUAAGGGUAUCUCACUUUGUUCUGCUUGCUAGGAGUUUGAAAGUUAUGGGAGCAACAGCAGACAAUUAUUAAGAAGUCUUUUUGAGUGGUUAAACUCUUAUUAUAAAUACUUAAUUAGAGAAAGACUGAAUAAAUUAAAAUGAUUCUUCACAUGAAAGCUGACGCACAACAAUGAAAAAAUUACAUAUUCCAACAGAAAAUCCAUCAGUAUUUACCUCCUUCUGGUAAUACAAUCAUAGUUUAAGCUAAGCUCAUCAUAAAACUUAAAUGAACUGGAAAAAAGAACAUUCUGUUUUGCAACUGUUAAAAACAAUCGACUAUGAUGUAAAGCUCUCCAUUGACUCUGGCAGCAAGUCCUUGUUCCUUUAAACUCCUGUGUACACACUUUUUAAUCUUUUGUAAUAGGGACUUAAAAAGACAUUAAUUUGGCUUAGCUUGCAUGGGAAUGAUGCAAUCUAAAGAGCAGUGUUUGAAAAACAUUGUUUGCAAGGUUGUACUGGGUGUCAGCAACACUUAGAUCUGUCAAAAAUCUGAAACAUACACUCACUCUGGGAAAGACUGGAACAGGGAAGGAAAGUAUGGUGAUGCAGGUCCUCGAGCUGCAGCUCCAAGUGCAGCUCCAGAGUCCUAUGGCACGUGGCCAGAUCUGUGGGAAGGCCCAGAGCACACCGGCUUUCUCCAUUAGCAGAAAUCCCAGAAUAGAUCUGAUACAGAACAACAGUAAUUCUCACUUCAUCCGCACUAUUUAACAAAUAAACUUGCUUAACUAAUUUUUCUUGAAUUGUGUUCUGAACUAAAAUAAUUCUUGCUUCAGAGAAAUUGGAAUGAGGAAUAUUCUAAAUGCAUGAACAACUGAUAAGACAUGAAGAAAAUGACUUCCAUGUGUAUGUGAUUAUUAUAAAUGUGACUUCUCUUUUAAAGAGUGCUGUAAACAAACACAUAAUCCAGUUUAUUAACUGAAAUUGGCUGAAUUACAGCUUGAAAAUAAGAUACACAUGGUGGCAAUUACCAUACUUCACAACCGCUAGGCCUUUAAAAAGCCCAGUUCAUACGUUUUUCCUGCAGAAAUUGGAGUCUUUAGCUUUCCUCACUAGAAGAUUUUUAGAAGCAUCUUUUCAGAAUGCCUAUGCAAGCCAGACCACUGAUCCAUAAUUCAUCAUGGGGGGGCAGACCUAGGAUUUGUCACUUGCAUGAGUUGGGGUAGCAGUUGCAAAGGUAAAAUUAUAUAAAGAAAUAAAUCAUUUUUACAUGAGCUUUGAGAGAAAGGCUUCUUGCUCAGAAUUAAGAGAAAAGAUCCUUUUCGGCAGCAGCAGCUGCCAUUUAGGGCACUUGUGGUAUGGUCAGCCAAGUUCUUGCUCUGUUGCUUAGCCCAAGGACUGUUGCCUUGCUGGUGUAUAAGCCCUGAGCACAAGGUCACUGGCCAUUUUGGAGCAAGCCUCUCUCAGAGUGUCCGGAGGGGAAAGCUCUCAAACUACAAGACUGACAGUACAUUGCAACAUGUGGUUUGGGAGCGCUCUGUGCUGGCACAUACUGGUUAGAGUGGAGGGAGUAAGAUGGACCCUGUGGAAAGGAGCAGUGAUACAGGCCCGAACAAGAGCACUGCAUUCAACCUAAACAAAUGACUAUUGUUGCAGCGUUUAGACAGAUGGCUGGCAAAACCGGCCAGAGGCAAUUCAAAGAUAAUAUUCAUGUAAUGUCCAACUUCCCCACAUUAAGGAAAUGCAUGUUAAUCCAUUACUGGCACUAAUCCAGCACUGGGCUAUGACAUUAGAAGGACACAAGCAGAAAGCAGGGAUGAGUCUGCCUGGGGAUGACUAUUCACUGUCAGAAUGCAAGCACUUUCUGUAGCAGAUGUAGAAAAAUGAAGAAGAAAUGCUUCUUUUCUUUCCCCCUACAAAAUUAAGUUGUGGAACUCAUUGUUGCAGGGUGUUGGUCAUAAGUAAGUCUAAACAGGCUAGCAAAAGAAAUAAAAAAAAUGUAAAUGGCUGAGACUAUUGAGCACAAUAGACCAAAUGCAAUCUUGGACUCAGGAACUUCCCAAACUACUAAAAGAUGCAUAAGGAGAAUCAUAGAGUCAUAAAGGUUGGAAAAGACCCCUAGGAUCAUCAAGUCCAACCAUCAGCCCAUCCCCAUCAUGUCCACUAACCAUGUCCCUCAGUACCACAUCUACGCAUUUCCUGAACACCUCCAUGGAUGGUGACUACCACCUCCCUGAGCAGCCUGUGCCAAUGCCUCACCACUAUUUUUGAGUAUCCAUCCCACAGACCACAGCCCAGGUAUUUCAAGAAGAUCAUGUAGGACCUCUGGCCUGUGCCCACGUGAAUGUACAUGCUGUUUUCCUUCCUGCAUCAUCUCAGCAAGAAUGUGCACUGUAGGUACUGCAGCCGAAUCUUACUUCAGAUAUCAGGUCUGGUAAGCUUCAAGCUGGUAACUGAGAGCAGAACAGCCACUCACCUGUUCAGCCACAGAAUGACACCUUUCUGUCCAUGUUCACUUCACUUAGGUAUGAGGUGGGGCAGCGACGGGACUGUGCUGAGCUUUGGUUCUGCUUCCCAAGGCCUGGUGAUGCUGUGGGAUAUUGGAGGGAGCCUCCUUGUACAGACUGCUUUGCGCUGAGCAACUCAUCUGCCAUGGACAGAAACUUGGGACCCAAAUCUGUCCCAGGCUUAUGGCAAUUGCCAACACAACAACCAGUGAGGACAUAGUGCUUUGCAGACAUUAUUGAAGCAAUAAAUUUUGGGUAUUGCUAAUGUUAUCCUGGAAUAACUAAUAACCAGGAAGGAGAAAAAUAGACCUUACCUCUCCCAUCCUAUCAUGUGACCCAGAAAACCAGUGAAGCAUGGCAACAGACAUAAACAACCACACAAAUAAAGCUCUGUAUCUGAUUGACUCCAAUACCAAUGGCUCAUGGUUAAAGCAGCUGGAAAAGCAUGAAGAUAAAAUGUCAAGUUUAAAGCUAUAGGAACUAACCCUGGCCGCAGCUGGGAUUCUCAGGUGGCAUCUCCAUGACUGGAAAGCUCUACUUACUUCAACCCAAAGUAACUGCAUUUACAAGCACGAAAGAAUGCCCCAUGAAGGAGCUAUGGCAGCCUUGCCUCCCUUCCUGCACCGCACAAAGAGAGCCAUGUGGCAGGUUAGCUCACCAUGCUGCACUCUGGGCUUCAGGAAGGGGUUACUUUCCAUGCAACACAUGGGCUAAAAUUACACUGGGGCUAUGCCAGUCCCCACCUGCCCUGUACUGGUCAGUAACAGGAAGAUUUUUCCCUGUCUUAUGUUACAGCCUUCCUCUAGUUGCCAGAAAACUUCAGAUUAUUUUUGGGUUUGGUGCUGCUUCUAAUAUUACUUUUCAAUAAAGUGAAAUAAAUUGUCACUUGCAAAAGGGAUGGAGUUAAAAUUGAACCUGUUAUAAAUCUUAUAGAAAAAGUUGUUCAAAUGACUUCAGAUAGGGGGGCGAUUUGAAAACUCUAUGAAGGGCCUUAAAAUACAGUAUGAGUAGAGAGAUACCAUCCAGUUACUCCUCUAGUCCUACCAUUAUUCAUAACUACAAAAAACAGCAACAUAGGAGGGAUCAGAAAAGAUUAGAAAGAAUAAUGAGGGAAGGACCCAGGAAAGUGAGCAUUCCCAUCUCUCUCUCUACUUCAUUUCAAUCUACAAAGCCAAAGAUUGCUUUCUUGUCUGUAGAAAAUGAAAGAAAGUCCUGCUCUCUUCAGUUUCAAAGUGUGAUCUUUUCAUACCAGCGAUCUGCUUAGACAAGCAGAACAUUUCAGAUAAAUCUUUCUAAGUGGCUUUUUUUCCCCCUUUUCUGUAGGGCUCAGUAAAUGGUUGAGAUAUUUCUUGGAAGAAUAAUAGCUGAUCUUCUGCUAUGCCUCUGGGUUUGUGGCUGUUAAUUGGUGACAGCAAUUAAAAAUUAUUGCCUUGUAAAUUGUUUUCAUUACCAGACUAGUUCAUGGGUUGGAGGGAGGCAAGGGUGAAGAGGGCCAUGGCGUGCAGUGCAUUUCUCAGGUUGGCAGCCAGCGCUAGCACUAUUGCUGCUAUUUCUUCCUUCCUGUGAAGGCUGUGCAUGGAGCAGCACUCUGCAGCAGGACUGGAAGCAUGCAGUUCAUGUCAUGGCAGCUCCAAAGUGCUGGCAUAGUCCCUGAGUGUUUGUGUCCUCAUCUUUGCUGCUGGCUAGGCUGAGCCAGGAGCCAGCGGGUGGCUUUAUGGCCUGCUGGGUGUAUCAGCAGGACAUCAUGACUAAGGUUUCACAGCAAGCCCCAGCAGGCUCCUGGUGGCAGUGGUUCUGGCAUAACUUUCACUAAAACUAAUGGAAACAAAAUUAGAUGCAAACCUAUUUACGGAAACAAAGCCCCCAAACUGUAAUUUCUAAAACUCUUUCUUUGAUGCAGCUCCAUGGAAGCCAUAAGGAGGUCUGUUAAAUCCUUUACAAGACUGAAGGUGGCACAUAGCAGAAGAAACACACUUCAGAGUGGGCCUACUAUGACAAUUUCUAUAUCAUUCAAACUUCAGCAACUGUUUGACAUCUGUUUGACAUUUCUUCAGGAUCUAUAGCCACAGUCCGUUCUUUUCAGACCAGGCAUGGACAAUCUCAAACUGAAACAGUUUUCCAGCCAACACUGCAGGGGGCUUAAAAAAGAAAAAAGUCACUUCUCCCUUACAUAAUUAAGGGAAACCCACAAUGAGAAAGUCCUAACAAAUACUUCAUUUUAUACAAAAAUUCCAAGGGAAGAAGAGCAGAUAAUCAAGUAUAGUACAUGCCAAGAAAUGACCUUUAAGAAGGAUGAAACAUUAGAUAGCUUUCAAGGAUAGCCUAAGCAGAUAUUACUGUAAAAAUGGCUGUAAGAAUCUCAUGCUAGUGUUCCAAAUCUAACUGGAAGCAGAAUUUUGUCACAGUGAUGUAACUGUUGCCGUUAAAUACUUUACAUUGAGGAAAUGAGUUCCUUGUAGCUAAUAAAAACAUGCAUUUAAAGACAGCGCACUUUCCAGGUCAGCAUUACAUUUCACCCCCAGUUUCCCUUUUUUCACAUGCCCUGCAUUAUUAUUUCUUUCUUCCUGAAGGUUGGAAUCCUUGGGAGAGAAGGUAGACAGGCUCUACAUGAGCAUAACAGUCUAAACUUGUCCUUUUUUUUUUUUUUUUUUGCAAAAUGAGACCAAAGAGUUUAAUGAUUUACAAGACUACACCUCUGCUUGAGGCCUGCUUUAAGCUUUUAUUAACUAAAGGUGCAGGUCUUUGGUGAGAAGCACUGCAGGUUCCAAUAUAUUUAACGGAAAGCUUCAGAUAGAUGCAAUCUGGGGUCUUUAUGUACAGCUCAUUUAGAAAUGGCUGAAAAGUCUAAUGCUUAAAAAAAUUUCAGCAUGUUAUGGCAAGCCAAAUAAGAAAAAAUGUUAUAAGGAAAAAAAAAUAAAAAAACCCAUGCAUUCUCUCAGGAAUCUGUCUAAGGAAGUUAUGGGUGUAACAACUUCUCUCUUUGGCAUUGGUGAAAAUCUGUAGCAGGAAGUAUUGUGGAAUGUCCCUGGGGAAACUUACAGAAACAAAAGCUAUAAAGUUCAAAGAAGCUAUAGAUAAGAGAACUGAUACAGAUCCUUCAGAGAAACGAAUCUCCUAUUAGUCUGAAAGUCUAGAAGAAGAAGACGAGUGUUUUCCUUCUGGAAUUAACAGCUUACUGCAGAAGAAGAAAUGAAAUAGUAUAGAAAAGAUGGAUUCCCCCAGAGUGAUUCUUGGAACUUCUCACUUGGAAAAGGAGCGAGAGGAAUUUUCUUUUCCUGUGCUGAUAUUUUAUUAGUUAUGGCUGCAAUGGGAAUUAAGGAAACACAAAGAACUUCUAAGCCACAUGGGGAAGUAGUCAGGGUUCUGUGACUGACCACUCUUUUACAAUUUGUAUAAGAUGUGCAGGACUUCACA